GAUGAACGCUGGCGGCGUGCCUAAUACAUGCGAGUCGAACGAAAAGACGAGUAUCGUGGUGCUCUGGAGUUACGAACGGGCGGGUAACUCGCGAGUAACUAGCCUACCUCUUAGGGUUGGCUACCUUCAGGAAGCCGUAACACCUGACGGAUAAUCUUUUGGACCGCAGGGGUCAGGAGUGAAAGACCGGUUUGCUGUCACUUAUCGGUGGAUCCGCGCUGCGUUAGCUAGGUGGUAAAGUAACGGCUUACCGAGGAGACGAUGCGUAGCCGACCUGAGAGGGUGAUCCGCCACACUGGAACUGAGAGACGGUCCAGGCUCCUACGGGAGGCAGCAGUAGGGACUCUUCCGCGAUGUGCGAAAGCCUGACGGAGCAGCGCCGCGUGAGUGAUGAAGCUCCGCGGACCGUAAAACUCUGUUAUUAUUGAAGAACACAUGCGUAAGUAACUAUGCUCUUCUUGACGGUACCUAAUCAGAAAGCCCCGGCUAACUACGUG
rnacentral:rRNA from 1 species